GAAAUGCGAUAAGUAAUGUGAAUUGCAGAAUUCAGUGAAUCAUCGAAUCUUUGAACGCACAUUGCGCCCGCCAGUAUUCUGGCGGGCAUGCCUGUCCGAGCGUCAUUUCAACCAUCAAGCCCCCGGGCUUGUGUUGGGGACCUGCGGCUGCCCGCAGGCCCUGAAAACCAGUGGCGGGCUCGCUGUCACACCGAGCGUAGUAGCUAUCACCUCGCUCAGGGCGUGCUGCGGGUUCCGGCCGUUAAACAGCCUUACAAAACCCAAGGUUGACCUCGGAUCAGGUAGGAAGACCCGCUGAACUUAAGC
rnacentral:misc_RNA from 1 species